ACGGAGCUGUUGGAGCGAGUCCAGAGGAGGCCAUGGAGAUGAUCCGAGGGCUGGAGCACCUCCCAUACAAGGAGAGACCGAGAGUUGGGGUUGUUCAGCCUGGAGAAGAGAAGGCUCUGGGGAGGCUUUAGAGCAGCUUCUGUUUACGAGCAGUACAUCAAUGAGGGAGCUGAGCUUCCAUCAUUAGUGCGUGUGACAACAGUUGGAUCGUUACAGCCAUGUCAUCAUGGCACAUCUUUACAGAGGAGAAGCUCUCGUCCUGCCUGCCUGAGAAGAGCUGUGUGCUAUAACACGGACAGAAGAUUUUAAGCUCAGCAUUGAGAUGCUGCAGCAAAAGUAAGUACAAUCUGAUGUUUGGAGUGUGAAGCAGAAACUUUUUUAUUUAGUGUUUGGAAAGACCUGCUCAUCAAACAAGGGUUUGCCAGUAAGCUGUGUAGGCAGAAGGAAUGUGUUUGGUUAAUGGUCCUGCUAAGAGCAAACUAAACCACAGUAUGAUUUUUGAAGGGCCAGUUGUUCUGAUGGAGUUUGCCCUGAGUUCUUUGUUUACCUUAGGGCUGUAGACAAACCUGAGGCUGGGGAUGUGGAUGGCCGACUCUUCUGAAUGUGGAGUAAAUAAUGCUGGGUUCAUGCUGUUCUCGAGGGGACUCGGUCCUCCCUGUGUCCUUGGGGUCUGCGUGUGGUGUCCUGUGUGUGCCUGGUACAACAGCAGUGUUCGCAAGUGGCACAGACCACACUAUUUUCAGUAAUCUUAAAAGUCAUCAGAUAAAAAAAAGACUAUUAUGUCUAUUAUUUUUUUUCUGGUUAAAACACGUAAAGAACCCCUGAAAGACUACUACAAUGGAUUGAUAAAUAAACUGCACUUGAAACACAUCGAGAUCUGUACACCGUGGCAGGAAGCUGAGGAUUAUCUGCUUUUGCUUGGUAAAUAGUGGAUUAUGAGGUGGGCUUGAGAAUGUGUGAAAAACCACUUAGCAAAGGCGGAGAGAGCUGCUGCAGGUCUGACAUAGGAGCUGGUAGAACACAGGAAGGUAAUGAAGGUGCUGAUUAGUGACAGCUUCAUGUGUGCUGUGCCUGGGUUUGAUCAUGCCACCAAAACUGCUCAAUUUUCCUAACUACCGCUUUUCACUGCUCUCCUGAGAAGUAAGAGUAGUGCCUGCAUGGCUGUUUCAGCCUGUUCUUUGUACUCUUAAUUUCUUCUAACUGUGUGGAAAUACAGCGUGCCUGUGCAUCUUCCAGUGCACUGUCAGGGUCACCAGUAAAUGAAAUCAUGAAAGUUUUGGCUGAGCAACCAAAAAUAGCUGAAAUCUAAAUUAACAAGCCCUUGGAGUAGUGUUCCCUCAGCGUGUUCACUGGAUUAGCAUAAAGUGUCAGUAAGCUUAAUAAAGUAGUAAAAUACAUAUUCAUCUUGAUGUACGCUCAGCAGGUUUUGAGAUGCCAUACAGUUGGAAAACACUGUCUGUGCUUGGUUAUUUUCAACUUGUGAAGAUAAUGUCUAUAAAAUCACACUGAUUUCUCUGCUUUGAACUCACUUGAGCUGGAGGUGGCCGCUAGCGAGCCCUGUGGCUUAUCCUGCCUAGAUCUUACGGAGUUUUCCUGUGUGCUUAACCAAUUCUAGCAGAUUCAGAGGCAGAAAGGCUCUUCUAAGAUAUGUGCAAUGUUUAAAAUUCCCUUUCAUUGAAUUUGCCCUCACCUGGUGUGUUUCUAAAGCCAGACUGACCAGAAACAAAGCAUAUUGUACUUUUUUCCCCCGCGAGUGCUUGAAAUUAUGUCAGUCUGGAUGGUGCUGCAAGCAGCCGCUGUUCCACUCGCAUCACCCAAAGCAGAACAUCAGUAGAAAGGUUUGCAGUGAGACUGGAGGAGGUGUUUGCAGAGAGCUCGGCCUCCAUUCCGUUCUGUUUGCCUACCAGGCUCAGCAGACCUGGAGGUGUGUCUGCACAAGUCAUCCAGCGGCUUGGAUCUGCCCAUGAAGGUGGUGGAUAUGUUCGGCUGUUUACCUGUGUGCGCGAUAUAUUUUGCAUGGUAAAAGCUUGCUUGUUCUGAUGGAACUUAAGGGGGAUCACAUUAAAUAUCCUUACAAAGCAGUUCCACAUCUGCUGUGCGUAUCCAAUGAGAUCCUGCUGUUAUGCCAUAACAGUAUGGGGUUUUAAUUCAAUAAGAUAAAUUAGGAAUCAAGGUUGUUUUAUUUAAGAUCAGUUUAAAAAAAUUAACACUAGUUUCUACAAAGUUGGGAGUGUUUAAUGCAACCAGUUGCCUUAAAAACCGACCCCGUAAUCCUUUGUUUCGGUGAGGGUUGAGUGUGCAUGGUCACUCUGGCAAUUCACUGCCUCUUGGGGAAACAGCAGCCCUUAUAAAUGAAGAGACGCUGUCUGUGGACAUCUCGUGAGCUGGAUCCUGGGCUGGGAUAGUCUGACAGAGAGGGGAGAAACAGUCUUAACAUGUAAAAGCUUUACUUUCUUUGUCAGGCCUGGAGCUCGUCUCUCCCCAUCCAGGAUCCCUGGGCUGCAGAUGCCCUCUUGCAGUCCCUCCAGAGGUCACCACACGACUCCUAAACAUGUUCUGUCCCACUCACUGCUUUCUGUCUCAUGCUUUCUUCCAUGGCUUCUCUUCACAGCUUACAUGAACUUGUGAAGCACAAUGAAAAUGAUCUGAUAUUCUGGGACUGGAAUGAACUUACGGAACAACUGAAGAUGCUUUUCUUGGGAUUCCCUACACUGGAAGGGAAACUUCACAGCUUCAGGGAAAACCUCUGUACAUCCAAGCAGCUGCGCUGGGAUGAGAGUUGGGACCAGACUGUUCUUCCUUUGUUCAGGCAGAAUGACUGACUGUGGAGGAGGAGGGAGUCAGAAAAGCAGAUUCAUUCCUGGAGAUGCAUGGAUUUGAUAAAUAGCAAAUAAACGCUUUGUAUUGUCUGCAUUUGCAGUUUUUAACUACUUCACCUUGGGAAAAUGGUUUGGACACAGCUUUUCCUUUACAAUUGGAGCUUGAUGUGUAAGUAAGAACAGGGCUGAAGGUGCAGCCAUGAUGGUUUGUUGUGUGCCAGUGGUGGAAGUCCUGCUGGAAGGCAUAAUUCCCGUGCAGGAGAGCUUGUGCCUUGCCUUCUGGCCUGCCUUACCUUCCAUAUCACUUGUGGUGAACCUGUGGGAAGCGGGAAGGAAGUGGAGUUCCUCGAGGAACUUGUGUGAACACGAUCUGUUACCUGUGCUGCUAAAAGGUUCCUUUUUGGUGAAUGUACUCAUAUCCAUUUCUCAGCUGUUGCCAGCUGGACCCGCUGUGCAGGAGGUGAUUGGGGUAUUUUUUUCUUGCAACUGAGAGGUACCUUUUAUCAGAGUUAUUGUACAGGGUACAGCAGGAUUUGUUUUGUGAACCAGUUAAUACUCUUGGCUUACCUUCCUUAGAGGUGUACUUUUCUAAGUGUACUCUGGUGUGAUUUUAUCAAGAUGGAAACAUUCAACUUCAGAGUUGUUUUCCUUUUUCCAGUCUGUGCACGA